UACGGAGGGUGCGAGCGUUGUCCGGAAUCAUUGGGCGUAAAGGGCGCGUAGGUGGCCCGGUCAGUCCGUGGUGAAAGCGCGGGGCUCAACCCCGCGUCGGCCAUGGAUACUGCUGGGCUGGAGCACUGUAGAGGCAGGCGGAAUUCCGGGUGUAGCGGUGGAAUGCGUAGUGAUCCGGAAGAACACCGGUGGCGAAGGCGGCCUGCUGGGCAGUUGCUGACACUGAGGCGCGACAGCGUGGGGAGCAAACAGG
rnacentral:rRNA from 1 species